rnacentral:lncRNA from 1 species
AGAACUAAAUUGGGGAAACAUUGCAUCAAAAAAAAAACAUAAACGGUAUUGGCACGAUUACAAUAAUUAUAAUAAUGACGAUGGUUCAAAUACAUUACUAUUUUUAACAGAAAAUAGAUAGAAGAUGCGACUUAAGCUAGGUUGUCAUUAGGUUUAUAGACAACUCGGCAUCUAACAUGGUAGCUAUUACAAUGAACUACGGUGGACUGCAGCAUCUCCACCCAGAUAAGACAUCUUCCAAACCAGCAGAAAACAGUUUCUCUGCGAUAAAGCAGUAAGCUAAGCUCGGUCACUUGUCCAGUAUUGUGCUCGUGAUCAGAGACACAACAAGUUCCGGCUUCUUCAAUUGAGCAGCAGCCAUGCCAUGAUACAAACACCAUCGUUGGACCAUCUACAGCAGGGACCAACACCCAAGAUCCAUCAAGAGCCGCAUCAGACAAUGAUGGGCAACCAAACCAGAAACGGCAGCAUCAUUCAGCACCAAUGACCACAAAGAUAACAGCAUCAUUCAGCAGUCUGGAAACAGAAGGCAUGUCAUCAAAAGUGCUUGGCAUUGGCUGCAUUGGUGGAAGAGAUCCACUUGCUUCGAAAGUUGAUUGAGUAGCACCAACACCGUAGUGACUGCCAUUAGUUGAUUGAUCAAGUGGGUACUGCAAAAACUGAUUGUUUGGCACAGACAAAUCAUAGGAGAAGCUUCCACCAGGCAGAUCAUAGGAAAAGGUUUCACCAGAAAAAUCAUAGGAGAAGGUU